rnacentral:rRNA from 1 species
GACGAACGCUGGCGGCGUGCUUAACACAUGCAAGUCGAGCGGUAAGGCCCUUUCGGGGGUACGACGAGCGGCGAACGGGUGAGUAACACGUGGGUGACCUGCCCUCAGCUCUGGGAUAAGCCUGGGAAACCGGGUCUAAUACUGGAUAUGACUCCAUGACGCAUGUUGUGGGGUGGAAAGCCUUGUGCGGCUGAGGAUGGGCCCGCGGCCUAUCAGCUUGUUGGUGGGGUGAGGCCUACCAAGGCGACGACGGGUAGCCGGCCUGAGAGGGCGACCGGCCACACUGGGACUGAGACACGGCCCACGACUCCUACGGGAGGCAGCAGUGGGGAAUCUUGCGCAAUGGGCGAAAGCCUGACGCAGCGACGCCGCGUGAGGGAUGACGGCCU